ACUGUUGAAAACAGAACCAACCCGUAGGACAAUACCAAUAGCAGCAAAGAAUAGGUCCAGAUCAGGAAAGGAAGGGUGGACAGAGCCAGAAUAGCUCUCAGAGCUGCCAUCUUUUUAAAUGCUACAGCAAGACAACAAAGGGAACCUUUGCAAAGUUGGAAAAUCUACCCUAAACCACACCUCUUUGUAAAAAAGGUGAGGAAAUCUAAGUUCGUGUAAAAAUUACCUAGGGGAAAGAACCAAACUCAAACAUUAUACAAAGUCGUAAGAAAAAAAGUGAGAAACAAAUAGGUCCACAGAAAAUGAAUACAUAUCAAAAACUAUAAACUAUUACUGCAAAACAAGUUAAAUGACAAAAAGAACAAGCUGUGGAAGAAUAUAAUCCGGAACUAUGCGAAGUCAGAAUUCAUCUGAUGGAACUCAGAAAAAUAGUAGAACAAAUUCUAAAAUAAAGACUUGGCUGAAGGAAACACAAGAAUGUGACCACACCGAAGACAGGAGGUGGUUUCUGUUAUUGCUGAGACAAGGUCUCAGCCAGGCCUCGAACCCUCCUUAGCCCAGGCUGGCCUCGAGCUCCGUUCCCCUCCCUCAGCCUCCAGAGGGCUGGGUCACAGGCUGAGCCCUGGCCCGUGGCGUUACAGCAGAGCCUGCGGCGGUUGGCGGUUACCGAUGUCCGCGAGCGGGCGCCCAGCUGGACUCCGGCCGGCCCGGGCCUGGAAGAGCCACGAAGGAGUUGGUUUCCCUCGGAGGAGGAGCCGCUCGGCCUCACGCCGCUCGGCCUCACCUCCCUGGGUGCUGGCUCCCGGCCUUCCUCGAGGACCCUUCCCUCCCGGUGCGACUCCUAGGGUCGGCGCCUGGGCUCCAGGCCUCUGCCCGGUCCUCUGCAUCUCCAGUGCGGAUGGCCUUCGUGCCCCCUUCUACCUCCAACUCUGGGCGGCCCGGCCCCUGUGGGCUAAUAUCGUGAAUUUCCGCCCUGCGUUGGAUCUGACUCCCAGCGUGCAGUCUUUGGAGGACCUUGCCCGGGACCUGCGAGCUCUUGUCAGUAAAACGUGA
rnacentral:lncRNA from 1 species